rnacentral:rRNA from 1 species
UACGUAGGGGGCAAGCGUUGUCCGGAAUUAUUGGGCGUAAAGCGCGCGUAGGCGGUUAUUCAAGUCGGAUGUGAAAGCCCUCGGCUUAACUGAGGAAGUGCACCCGAAACUGAGUAGCUAGAGUACCAAAGAGGGUCGCGGAAUUCCCGGUGUAGAGGUGAAAUUCGUAGAUAUCGGGAGGAACACCGGUGGCGAAGGCGGCGACCUGGGUGGAUACUGACGCUGAGGCGCGAAAGCGUGGGGAGCAAACCGG